rnacentral:rRNA from 1 species
UGCUGGAGGUAUCAGAAGUGCGAAUGCUGACAUAAGUAACGAUAAAGCGGGUGAAAAGCCCGCUCGCCGGAAGACCAAGGGUUCCUGUCCAACGUUAAUCGGGGCAGGGUGAGUCGACCCCUAAGGCGAGGCCGAAAGGCGUAGUCGAUGGGAAACAGGUUAAUAUUCCUGUACUUGGUGUUACUGCGAAGGGGGGACGGAGAAGGCUAUGUUAGCCGGGCGACGGUUGUCCCGGUUUAAGCAUGUAGGCUGGUUGUCCAGGCAAAUCCGGAUAAUCAAGGCUGAGGUGUGAUGACGAGGCACUACGGUGCUGAAGUAACAAAUGCCCUGCUUCCAGGAAAAGCCUCUAAGCAUCAGGUAACAUUAAAUCGUACCCCAAACCGACACAGGUGGUCAGGUAGAGAAUACCAAGGCGCUUGAGAGAACUCGGGUGAAGGAACUAGGCAAAAUGGUGCCGUAACUUCGGGAGAAGGCACGCUGGUGUGUAGGUGAAGUCCCUGCGGAUGGAGCUGAGACCAGUCGAAGAUACCAGCUGGCUGCAACUGUUUAUUAAAAACACAGCACUGUGCAAACACGAAAGUGGACGUAUACGGUGUGACGCCUGCCCGGUGCCGGAAGGUUAAUUGAUGGGGUUAUCCGUAAGGAGAAGCUCUUGAUCGAAGCCCCGGUAAACGGCGGCCGUAACUAUAACGGUCCUAAGGUAGCGAAAUUCCUUGUCGGGUAAGUUCCGACCUGCACGAAUGGCGUAAUGAUGGCCAGGCUGUCUCCACCCGAGACUCAGUGAAAUUGAACUCGCUGUGAAGAUGCAGUGUACCCGCGGCAAGACGGAAAGACCCCGUGAACCUUUACUAUAGCUUGACACUGAACAUUGAGCCUUGAUGUGUAGGAUAGGUGGGAGGCUUUGAAGCGUGGACGCCAGUCUGCGUGGAGCCAACCUUGAAAUACCACCCUUUAAUGUUUGAUGUUCUAACGUUGGCCCCUUACCGGGGUUGCGGACAGUGUCUGGUGGGUAGUUUGACUGGGGCGGUCUCCUCCCAAAGCGUAACGGAGGAGCACGAAGGUUAGCUAAUCCUGGUCGGACAUCAGGAGGUUAGUGCAAUGGCAUAAGCUAGCUUGACUGCGAGCGUGACGGCGCGAGCAGGUGCGAAAGCAGGUCAUAGUGAUCCGGUGGUUCUGAAUGGAAGGGCCAUCGCUCAACGGAUAAAAGGUACUCCGGGGAUAACAGGCUGAUACCGCCCAAGAGUUCAUAUCGACGGCGGUGUUUGGCACCUCGAUGUCGGCUCAUCACAUCCUGGGGCUGAAGUAGGUCCCAAGGGUAUGGCUGUUCGCCAUUUAAAGUGGUACGCGAGCUGGGUUUAGAACGUCGUGAGACAGUUCGGUCCCUAUCUGCCGUGGGCGCUGGAGAAUUGAGGGGGGCUGCUCCUAGUACGAGAGGACCGGAGUGGACGCAUCACUGGUGUUCGGGUUGUCAUGCCAAUGGCACUGCCCGGUAGCUAAAUGCGGAAGAGAUAAGUGCUGAAAGCAUCUAAGCACGAAACUUGCCCCGAGAUGAGUUCU